AAGGGGGAGGGGGGAAAUA
rnacentral:miRNA from 1 species